UACGUAGGGUGCGAGCGUUGUCCGGAAUUACUGGGCGUAAAGAGCUCGUAGGUGGUUUGUCGCGUUGUUCGUGAAAACCGGGGGCUUAACCUUCGGCGUGCGGGCGAUACGGGCAGACUGGAGUACUGCAGGGGAGACUGGAAUUCCUGGUGUAGCGGUGGAAUGCGCAGAUAUCAGGAGGAACACCGGUGGCGAAGGCGGGUCUCUGGGCAGUAACUGACGCUGAAGAGCGAAAGCGUGGGGAGCGAACAGG
rnacentral:rRNA from 1 species